UACAGAGGGGGCAAGCGUUGUUCGGAAUUACUGGGCGUAAAGGGCGCGUAGGCGGCCUUCUAAGUCGAACGUGAAAUCCCUGGGCUCAACCCAGGAACUGCGUCCGAGACUGAAAGGCUUGAAUCCGGGAGAGGGAUGUGGAAUUCCAGGUGUAGCGGUGAAAUGCGUAGAUAUCUGGAGGAACACCGGUGGCGAAGGCGACAUCCUGGACCGGCAUUGACGCUGAGGCGCGAAAGCCAGGGGAGCAAACGGG
rnacentral:rRNA from 1 species